rnacentral:lncRNA from 1 species
CAGAAAUACAAUUUAUUGGGAAAAGGGGAAAAGGACAAAAAAUACAUGCAAUAAUACAAAGGGAAAGACUACUGACAAAGUCAGAAUACAACCUGGCCAGCGUGCUGGUAGCAGUCCAAAUUGGAGUAGCUGCAGUCCUCAUGGGAUGGCAGAUGUAGUUGCUGUGUCUUCUCGGAGAACCUGUGAAAAGGCUGACCCUCUGUCUAGAAAACCCCAGUUUUAUCCAGGUUGGAAUGCCUAGCUCCUCCCCCCUGUGCAGAGCAUCUCACAAUGGGUCAUUAUGAGUCACGAGGUGUGUCCUUAAUCACCUGCUCCUGGACAGUGUUAUCUCUGAGUCAUGUAGCAAGGCAUUGAUGGGGCUAUUAACAGCAGAUAAGGAAAACUGCCUCAAGGCAACUCCUACUCAGAUGGUAAAUAGGAAACCGUUCUUUUUUUAAUCUUGGACAUUAAACAAAUACUGCAUAUAAACAAUAUAAACCUCAUAUAUAAAAUACAACAAAAUCAUAUAGUAACAUUACAAAUUAUUAAACAGAAAUAAGUUGAAAAACAUCAGAAAAGUACAAAUUAGUUAUAAUUACAAUAAAACAAAUUAAUAUACAAAGCGUAUAAAAUUGACAUAAACAAAUCCUGAAUUCAGGGUAAAACAUUUAGCAGGAUUCACAGCUUGAUCUGAUUCGAAACUUGGGCUGUCGCGGCACUGGAGAUGUAUAGCGGAGUUGAAGCAGCGAGCAGCGACAUGGCUUGUCUGAUUUUAUUCUUUAUUUCCGGAGUGGGCAUAAUACCGUGGGUAUAAACUAAAUAGCAUGAUCUUUCUUUCUAUAAAAUAUAACUCAACAAGUAGAUUAUUAAAUAAAAGGGAACAUUGGGUAGGGUGCAUUAAGGAAUGGGACAGGGGAAUCAGACAAUCACUUGAUUAGUGACUGUCAUGAUUGAUAAGGGGAAUCGGUAAGGGGUGGACCAGGGUGCCGCCAUCUCAGGGGGAAGACAAAAUGGCGGUUUCCAGUCUGGGGUUUUCGCCCCGCUCUCCCUCAAAGGAGACCCCCCCCCCCGAGAAGGGGAGUGAUCUUCUAAGAAGGGGGGUCCUCUGAUGGGAGGUCCUCAACAGCGAUCCGUCCCACCAGAGGAAGGGCCAGAAGAAGGAUUAGGGAAUAUCCAACCCCGCCUCCCCCCCACAGGGACUAGCCACACGGCAAUUUUGAUUGUCGGGGCCCUUGGGGAGAGGGUGGGGCUGGCAGGAAACCGGGGGGUGAAAGAGAAGGAUCAGCGCGGUUAAGUAGGAUCCAAGUGGCGUGGCCAGCGCCAUCUUGUAAGGGGGUGCCGGGUGCACUGCACCCCUACCCAGGGGCGGCGUGACCAACACCAUCCCCAAGGGAAGGCAGCAUUUAGGAAAAUCCGAGGGCAAGGGGAUCUGGGGAGCUUCACAGAAGCAAAAGGGGAAUUUACAGGAGAGGAGCCCGACACAGCUGGAUGUCGACACAAUGCGUGGGUGUACAGGGCUUCUCUUACCAACCCUCCUAUAGUUAACAUGCCGCCUUUCAAACAUUUGUCCCGUUUGUGUCUUUUCUACCCCCUCCGUCCAGCCCAGAUUGGGGAGGAAAGGAUAGAGAAGACGACUUUUCGAGGGGAAGAAAAAGCAAUCAAAUAUGGGUCCCCAUAAAAGACUAGGUGGGGAGUACCUGGGACCUCCCCCCCAGAAACGAAAAACCCACUCGCCCACCGGGCACAUGCAAGAAUACAGCUCCCGUCUGAGCACGAGCGAGGGUUAAAACGCAAAAAGAAAAAAUGGGAAACCCAGCCACCCGGCGGGAUGGACCCCACCCCGUCUAGCCCACCUUACCCUCUGGGGCCCGGGUGGAGAUGGCUUGAUUCUUCUCCUCGACUUGGUGGAAAAGUCGCGCCGAACUGGGGACGUUCCUUCUAGGUUUGGCUCUUCCAGAGGCUUAGGUGUUCCCGGGACUUGCAGGCAAGUCCAGCCGAUCUCGGCUGCACCCAAAACUUGUCCCUGAAGCGUUGGGCUCGACCACUAUCG